rnacentral:rRNA from 1 species
GAUGAACGCUGGCGGCGUGCCUAAUACAUGCAAGUCGAGCGAACAGACGAGGAGCUUGCUCCUCUGACGUUAGCGGCGGACGGGUGAGUAACACGUGGAUAACCUACCUAUAAGACUGGGAUAACUUCGGGAAACCGGAUCUAAUACCGGAUAAUAUAUUGAACCGCAUGGUUCAAUAGUGAAAGACGGUUUUGCUGUCACUUAUAGAUUGAUCCGCGCCUCAUUAGCUAGUUGGUAAGGUAACGGCUUACCAAGGCAACGAUGCGUAGCCGACCUGAGAGGGUGAUCGGCCACACUGGAACUGAGACACGGUCCAGACUCCUACGGGAGGCAGCAGUAGGGAAUCUUCCGCAAUGGGCGAAAGCUUGACGGAGCAACGCCGCGUGAGUGAUGAAGGUCCUCGGAUCGUAAAACUCUGUUAUUAGGGAAGAACAAAUGUGUAAGUAACUAUGCACGUCUUGACGGUACCUAAUCAGAAAGCCACGGCUAACUACGUG